CCUAUGGGGUGCAGCAGGCGCGAAAACUCCGCAAUGCGCGCAAGCGCGACGGGGUUACCCUGAGUGCUACCCGCUGAGGGUGGCUUUUCCCGGCUCUAAAAAGGCCGGGGCAAUAAGGGGAGGGCAAGUCUGGUGUCAGCCGCCGCGGUAAUACCAGCUCCCCGAGUGGUUGAGACGAUUAUUGGGCCUAAAGCAUCCGUAGCCGGCCCCACCAGUUCCCUGUUAAAUCUAACGGCUCAACCGUUAGGCUGCGGGGAAGACGGUGGGGCUAGGAGGCGGGAGAGGCGGACGGUAUUCCGCAGGUAGGGGUAAAAUCCGUUGAUCUGCGGAGGACCACCGGUGGCGAAGGCGGUCCGCCAGAACGCGCUCGACGGUGAGGGAUGAAAGCUGGGGGAGCGAACCGGAUUAGAUACCCGAGUAGUCCCAGCUGUAAACGAUGCAGGCUAGGUACCGGAUGGGCCAACGUGUCCAUUCAGUACCGCAGGGAAGCCGUUAAGCCUGCCGCCUGGGGAGUACGGUCGCGAGACUGAAACUUAAAGGAAUUGGCGGGGGAGCACCACAAGGGGUGAAGCCUGCGGUUUAAUUGGAGUCAACGCCGGGAACCUCACCGGGGGCGACAGCAGGAUGAAGGCCAGGUUGAAGAUCUUGCCAGACGAGCUGAGAGGUGGUGCAUGGCCAAGGGCGA
rnacentral:rRNA from 1 species